AUCUGCCCUCAGGAGGGGGAUAACGGUUGGAAACGACCGCUAAUACCCCAUAUGCCGAGAGGUGAAAUGAAUUUCGCCUGAGGAUGAGCUCGCGUCUGAUUAGUUAGUUGGUGGGGUAAUGGCCUACCAAGACAUCGAUCAGUAGCUGGUCUGAGAGGAUGAUCAGCCACACUGGGACUGAGACACGGCCCAGACUCCUACGGGAGGCAGCAGUGGGGAAUUUUCCGCAAUGGGCGAAAGCCUGACGGAGCAACGCCGCGUGAGGGAUGAAGGCCUCUGGGCUGUAAACCUCUUUUAUCAAGGAAGAAGAUCUGACGGUACUUGAUGAAUAAGCCACGGCUAAUUCCGUGCCAGCAGCCGCGGUAAUACGGGAGUGGCAAGCGUUAUCCGGAAUUAUUGGGCGUAAAGCGUCCGCAGGCGGUCUGUCAAGUCUGCUGUUAAAGCGUGGAGCUUAACUCCAUUUCGGCAGUGGAAACUGACAGACUAGAGUGUGGUAGGGGCAGAGGGAAUUCCCGGUGUAGCCGGUGAAAUGCGUAGAUAUCGGGAAGAACACCAGUGGCGAANGCGCUCUGCUGGGCCAUAACUGACGCUCAUGGACCAAAGCCAGGGGAGCGAAAGGGAUUAGAUACCCCUGUAGUCAAA
rnacentral:rRNA from 1 species